AUGGCCGGCCCAACCCAUCUCUACCUCUCCUCCCACUUCGUCUACCCACUUCUCUUUCAGGAAUAUAUUGAUGCAUUUGCCCACGAUUAUGGAUUAAAUGAUUCUGAACCUGUGGAAAUAGUUGUUAGUUGUAAUAACAAGAAAUUUAGUUCACUACUUGUGAAUCAUUUAAUUAUUCGAAUGUAUCAGCGGAAUUUUUUGGAUAACUCAGUUAAUCAUCCUAGUGUACAGGAGACAGGGGAUCGUGGAGGGCAAUCCAACCGGCCAUGGCUGUCCAUGGUGCGUGCCGGCCAUCCCCUGGUCCCCUUGAAGCAUUAG
rnacentral:rRNA from 1 species